UACGUAGGGUGCAAGCGUUAAUCGGAAUUACUGGGCGUAAAGCGUGCGCAGGCGGUUAUGCAAGACAGAUGUGAAAUCCCCGGGCUCAACCUGGGAACUGCAUUUGUGACUGCAAGGCUGGAGUACGGUAGAGGGGGAUGGAAUUCCGCGUGUAGCAGUGAAAUGCGUAGAUAUGCGGAGGAACACCGAUGGCGAAGGCAAUCCCCUGGACCUGUACUGACGCUCAUGCACGAAAGCGUGGGGAGCAAACAGG
rnacentral:rRNA from 1 species